rnacentral:rRNA from 1 species
AUUGAACGCUGGCGGCAUGCCUUACACAUGCAAGUCGAACGGUAACAGGUCUUCGGAUGCUGACGAGUGGCGAACGGGUGAGUAAUACAUCGGAACGUGCCCGAGAGUGGGGGAUAACGAGGCGAAAGCUUUGCUAAUACCGCAUACGAUCUCAGGAUGAAAGCAGGGGACCGCAAGGCCUUGCGCUCACGGAGCGGCCGAUGGCAGCUUAGGUAGUUGGUGGGAUAAAAGCUUACCAAGCCGACGAUCUGUAGCUGGUCUGAGAGGACGACCAGCCACACUGGGACUGAGACACGGCCCAGACUCCUACGGGAGGCAGCAGUGGGGAAUUUUGGACAAUGGGCGCAAGCCUGAUCCAGCCAUGCCGCGUGCAGGAUGAAGGCCUUCGGGCUGUAAACUGCUUUUGUACGGAACGAAAAGACUCUGGUUAAUACCUGGGGUCCAUGACGGUACCGUAAGAAUAAGCACCGGCUAACUACGUGCCAGCAGCCGCGGUAAGAC